UACGUAGGGGGCAAGCGUUGUCCGGAGUUACUGGGCGUAAAGGGCACGCAGGCGGUUGUGUCAGUUUGCGGGGACAGUGGGUGGCUUAACUGCCCAAGGGUCGCAAAGACGGCACGACUGGAGAGCGAGAGAGGGACCUGGAACUCCGGGUGGAGCGGUGAAAUGCGUAGAGAUCCGGAGGAACACCGAAGGCGAAGGCAGUGUCCUGGCGCGUAACGUGACGCUGAGGUGCGAAAGCCAGGGGAGCGAACGGG
rnacentral:rRNA from 1 species